UACGUAGGUGGCAAGCGUUGUCCGGAUUUAUUGGGCGUAAAGAGCUCGUAGGUGGUUUGGUAAGUCGGAUGUGAAAUCUCCAGGCUCAACCUGGAGGGGUCAUUCGAUACUGCCAUGACUAGAGGUCGGUAGGGGAGUGUGGAAUUCCUGGUGGAGCGGUGAAAUGCGCAGAUAUCAGGAGGAACACCCGUAGCGAAGGCGGCACUCUGGGCCGAUUCUGACACUGAGGAGCGAAAGCGUGGGGAGCGAACAGG
rnacentral:rRNA from 1 species